GACGAACGCUGGCGGCGUGCUUAACACAUGCAAGUCGAACGAUGAAGCCGGAGCUUGCUCUGGUGAAUUAGUGGCGAACGGGUGAGUAACACGUGAGUAACCUGCCCUUGACUCUGGGAUAACUGCGGGAAACUGUAGCUGAUACCGGAUACGACCCUCGGCGGCAUCGCCAGGGGGUGGAAAGAAUUUCGGUCAAGGAUGGACUCGCGGCCUAUCAGCUAGUUGGUGAGGUAACGGCCCACCAAGGCGACGACGGGUAGCCGGCCUGAGAGGGUGACCGGCCACACUGGGACUGAGACACGGCCCAGACUCCUACGGGAGGCAGCAGUGGGGAAUAUUGCACUAUGGGCGCAAGCCUGAUGCAGCAACGCCGCGUGAGGGAUGACGGCCUUCGGGUUGUAAACCUCUUUUAGUAGGGAAGAAGCGAAAGUGACGGUACCUGCAGAAAAAGCACCGGCUAACUACGUGCCAGCCGCCGCAGUAA
rnacentral:rRNA from 1 species